UUAAUAGUAAAAUCUGCUCAAUGAUAUUUAAAUAGCCGCAUUUGUGCUAAGGUAGCAUAAUAAUUUGUCUUUUAAAUGAAGACUAGAACAAAAGAUUUAACAUUUAAAAUUUUUUAUUUUUUUAAAUAAUUAAAAUUAUACUAAGAGUAAAAAUACUCUUAUUUUUUAGAAAGACGACAAGACCCUAUUGAACUUAACUAAAGUUAAACUGGGGCAGUUAAUCAAUUAAUAUUUUAAUAAAAUUAAAUAGAAUAAAAUCCAAUAAAAUUGAUAAUUCAGUUACCAUAGGGAUAACAGCGCAAUUAUAUUUAAGGAUUCUCACCUAAAAAAUAGAUUACGACCUCGAUGUUGAAUUAAUAACCUAAUUAAGGCAAAUCUUAAAAAAGGAAGUCUGUUCGACUUUAUAAAAGUUACAUGAUUUGAGUUCAGACCGGUGUAAGCCAGGUCGGUUUCUAUCUUCUAAAAACAUUCUUGUAGUACGAAAGGACCUAAGAAAUUAAUAUUAUUAUUUAAUUGGCAGAUUAAUGCAUUAGAAUUAGAAUCUAAUAAAACUGAA
rnacentral:rRNA from 1 species